rnacentral:lncRNA from 1 species
CAAACCCAUGAGGUGUGUUGCUUAUCUUUGUAUCUGGAAAAGUUGUGUUGCUAGGGCAGCAGCCACAGAAUUUCCACCUCUGUCACCAUGGAAUAGUGUUCAUCCCCCAAAGUCAUGAUCAUUAUUGCCUGAAGGAAAGGACUGACAAGUUUUGCUUAAAAGGGCAGUAAUGUUAAAGUUAAAGAUUCCUUGAGGGGCCGGCCCGUGGCAGAGCGAUUGAGUUCCCGCACUCUGCUUCGGUGGCUCGGGCUUUCGCUGGUUUGAAUCCUGAGCGUGGACAUGGCACCGUUCAUCAAGCCAUGCUGAGGCAGCGUCCCACAUGCCACAGCUAGAAGGAACCACAACUGAAAAUACACAACUAUGUACCAGGGGGCUUUGGGGAGAAAAAGGAAAAAUAAAAUCUUAAAAAAAA